UGGUUUAAGUCAAAUUCUCUUCAUUAUAUUUCCCGUACUCUUUCUCCAUUGUCUUGUCUGCUAUUUAAUGGAAGUCUAAAACCACGCGAGUGACACUUCUCAUUUUGUUAUCUCGGAACAUAAUUCUACUCUGUGUGUGUUCUAAACUUCUGUCAAUCAGUUUUAUAUUGAUUUGACUGUCUGUCAGUCUAUGCAUAAUCUGUCCAGUGAGUGUUUUGGCUACCCAACUCAUCUGGUCUUGCUCUUUUGCACAUUUAUCUGUGGUUUAUGGUCUGGGUGGCAUCUCAGCAUUCUACUCGUGCCAUUUCAGGUAUUAAUUCCUAUAGUUUCAUUCCGUGCUUUAUUGUUAACACCUUUAUUAUCCUGCAGAUACCACUGGUCAAUCCCCUUUGUAAUUCAUACUCAUUUCGUGUAAGAAUUGUCAUCAUAAUAUACCACGUAAAGUAACGAGGCUCCUUACAAGCAUAGCGUCG